UCUUCGAUGGUCUAGUGGUGAUGAUUUCCGCUUGUCAUUACAGCGUAGUGCAAGCGCGGGAGACCGGGGUUCGAUUCCCCGUCGGAGAG